GGGACAUGAUGAAUGGGUAUCAGCUCUAUUCUUAGAGAAGCCUGUGCCUUCAACCUUGUUACGAUUUCAACAGGUAAUACCCGUCUGAUCCC